rnacentral:rRNA from 1 species
GCCAGUUCAUGCUUUUACAGUAUGAAAAUUGGUGAUUUAUAAUAACUUAGCAAAUCGCAAAGUGAAAACAGGCGAUAAAUCAUUCAAGUUUCUGACCUAUCAGCUUUCGACGGUAUGGUAUUGGCUUACCGUGGCAGUGACGGUUAACGGGGGAUUAGGGUUCGAUUCCGGAGAGGGAGCCUGAGAAACGGCUACCACAUCUAAGGAAGGCAGCAGGCGCGCAAAUUACCCAAUUCUAACAGUUUGAGAGAGGUAGUAACAAGAAAUAACAAUACAAGGCAGUUAAAAUGCUUUGUAAUUGGAAUGAUAGAAAUUUAAACCCUUUUUAAAGUAUCAAUUGGAGGGCAAGUCUGGUGCCAGCAGCCGCGGUAAUUCCAGCUCCAAUAGCGUAUAUUAAAAUUGUUGCAGUUAAAAAGCUCGUAGUUGAAGUUCUGCUGAAAGUAACCGGUCUGCUUUUAAUAAAAGUGGUAUCUUGGUAUGUAUUUAGCAAUGAUGUCCUUUGAAGUGUUUUUUACUUUAUUGUAAUAAAGCAUAUUCAGGACUUUUACUUUGAGAAAAUUAGAGUGUUUCUAGCAGGCUAACGCUUUGAAUACUGCA